ACUCUAGAUGUCAGCGAUUUCUGGGACAAAAUGAACACCAUUGAACUUAAGAAAGAAGAAAUCCUGCUGUGAGUCAUUUAAAUUUUUUUUAUAAGCAACAUUUUUUUUUUUGAAUUUUGAAAGAGGACGAAGUCUUGUUGAUCCAGAACAAAAAGAAUCGAACCUGUCCCAGGAUAAAACCAUCGAAACCUGCCCUAAUAAUUUGUAUUUUCUUUAUCUCUUCCAUAAUGGCAUACCAUUGCAUCUGAUUUUCUUUAAGCCCCACACCACUGAAUUUCUUUUGUAAUGAAUAAGAAAAGAAACUAAAGAAAAGGACUUACUCUUCUAAUCAAAUAUCCUAUGGGGAUAAGCUGUCAUUAUUGAGAAUUUAAAGAAAGUUUCAUGCUGCAUACCAACUGCUCAAUAAAAUGCUUAAUUUAGGUUUCUGGAUUUUUUAUCCAAUCUUUUUAUAUAAGUUCAACUAUUUUUUUGGCAAAUAUAAAUGAGUUAUUCAUAAAGGUUUUUGUUGUAAGUAAGGUGUUUAACAAAACUCUUGAAUCAACUUUGUUUCAAUUGUAUUAUAAAUUGUUUUGCAGGACCAUGGAAGUAUCAAAUCUGUUAUCUUUAUUCAUUUGAUUGUUCAUAAAUUGAGAGGAUAAAAAGCUAUUAAUUUUUUUUAAUCAUGUCUUCUGAUUAUGGUUUUGGUUAAUUAUUUAUAUGUUGAUAAUAAAUUCUGCUAGAAUUUUACUGUUUUAUUUUGAUAAAAUUUUAAUACUUAUAUGUUGAUAAUGUAUUCUAAUAGAAUUUUACUGUUGCAUUCUAACAGAAUUUGUGAUAGAAAUGGCUUGAAGAAUGGCUUGAAGAACUGAUGGGAAAGGUUUGAAGAAUGAAUUAAAGAAUGACCACACUCAGUGUUUAAGAAUGUUGUUAUUUUUUAAGAAUCACACUUGUUAUUCUUUCAGAAUAUUGUUAUUAUUCAAAGAAUCACAAUUAUUUAUUUGGUAUAUUAUUAGUUCAAGAAUCUAUUUUGUGUAUUCUUUUCAGAAUGUAUUUAGUAGUUU
rnacentral:lncRNA from 1 species